rnacentral:tRNA from 1 species
GGGGCAUUAGCUCAGCUGGGAGAGCGUUGCACUGGCAGUGCAAAGGUCAGGGGUUCAAAUCCCCUAUGCUCCACCA